rnacentral:rRNA from 1 species
UACGUAGGGGGCAAGCGUUGUCCGGAAUCAUUGGGCGUAAAGAGCGUGUAGGCGGCCCGGUAAGUCCGCUGUAAAAGUCAAAGGCUCAACCUUUGAAUGUCAGUGGAUACUGUCAGGCUCGAGUCCGGAAGAGGCGAGUGGAAUUCCUGGUGUAGCGGUGAAAUGCGCAGAUAUCAGGAGGAACACCAAUGGCGAAGGCAGCUCGCUGGGACGGUACUGACGCUGAGACGCGAAAGCGUGGGGAGCAAACAGG